UGGGGAUUAUGGGAGUUGAAGUCCAAAAACAUCUGAGGACCCAAGUUUGAGAAUCCCUGUUCUAGAGCAUUUCUAGGGCAGGGUCUUCCCUUGGGGGCCAGAGAACCGACCAAGCCCUCUUCAGUGCAGCACCCUCCCCCUGCCCUCCCCUUUCCCACCCUGAGGAACGUCUCUGUGGGUUCCUUCCAAGCACUCCAUCCUCCCCCUCCUGAUUGGGGGCCUCACAGACCAAGGGCAGGUGUGGGGUUCUUCUGGUGGGCCUUUCCACAGACUCUCUGGCACGUCCAAGACCAACAUGUCAGCCUUAGGAAGCACCUGUGAGAGAACAGCUUCUGUUUUCUCCCAGUGUGAGAACUUCUGGCUGUCAUGGGGUGUAGCACGUGCUGUGAAGGUGGGAGAGGAAAGAAGGAAAGCCUUCCAGCACCAGGGCAAGGUGGAAUUAAACGGCUCUCCUUCACUUAAGCUGCCCCCAUUGAGGUGGGAGACCAUUUGAGAGGCCUCAUCCUUGGUCCCCCCCUCCUUGCCCUUUUUAUCUUGAACAGCCUGGCAAGGCAGGCUCAGCUGAGAGAGAGAGCGGGGAGCCCAGAGCCAGCUGUGUGACUUCGUGGGGAUUUGAAGCGGGGUGUGUGUCUUUGCCUCUAACCAUUGCCCCACUCGGUGCUGCCAGCAUAAGGCUCAGCAUGCAAAGAGAGCCAGCAGGGGGAGGCAGCCUCCAGCACCCCGAUGUUCCUGAACUACAACUCCCAGCAUUCCCAGGCAGGGCAUCCUGGGAGUUGCAGGCCAGUCGCAGCCGGAGUCCUGCUCCUGAAUCUGAAAUAUUCAACAGUCCAAAAAGACAGAACAAGGUGGAGGGAGCGAUUCCCGGCAGCAGGGAACACACAGGAAGGGAUGGGAAAGGAAACGGUGCAGGAAAGCGCCAGGGGAAGCUGCCUUGUGCUGAUGAGUCGGGACCUUGGGCUAUCUGGCUCAGGACUGUGCUCUGACCGGCAGCAGCUCUCCAAGGUUUCAGGCAGGACUCCCUCCCAGGCCCACAAGUUACUGGGAGAAGCUUCCAGGCAUUGAAGCUGGGUCCCCCUCCUGCAGGCCAAGCCGGGGCUAGUCUAGGGCUGCGCAUCAUCCCUGCAGGGGCAUCUCUCUCGCAGGGCCCCCCCCCCAGGCAGUCUUUCAUUCAAAUGCUAAGCGGAGCCAGCAGGGGAGGGAGCCCGGAGGAGGAGGAGAGCAGCAGCCGUGGUUAGGGGGUGGGUGGGGGCUUCACCCAAGGAAAGCCCUUCGGGAGAACUGCGCGGCGCCUGCUGCGCUUGCAUGGAGAGCGUGGGGAGGUAGGCUGUGCACGCAGCUCGGGGGUCCAGGCAGGGUUGCUUUCUGGCUCACGGCUGGACCCGCUCCUCCGCCUGCCACCUGCAAAAGCACCUGCGCAUGCUCAGCAGCGAGAGUGCACGAGCGAGACUCUUGUAGCCUCGACUAGGCAAAACCUCGACAGACAUCCAUGCUGCACGUGGGGACCCUCCUCCUCCUGGGGACGGACCCUGUUCCCUCCCAAGCUGCACGGAAUGGGGGCGGGGAACACACCGGGGGGCCCUUUGCUGUUUUCCCAGGCUCGGGGCGCCCUUCAGCUGUGCAAAGUCUCUUAGCCCCGAGAUCGGGGACUGUCUUUGGCCAGAGGGGUGUGGGGGGGUGUGUGUGGAGUGAAGAUUUGGGGAGGCUGGAGAAGGAGCCCGCCUGCCAUAAAGAGGCAGCUGUGGAAAGCGAUUCCCAACCUUGGGUUCCCCGGUGUUCUUGGACUUCAACGCCCAGAAUCCCCAGCCCCAAUGGCCUAUGGUUGGGUAUCGUGGGAGUUGAAGUCCAAUAACGUCUGAGGACCCAGCGUUGGGAAUCCCUGCUCCAGACAGCCAAUGCCUCCUUGUCUGGGCGCUGCCCCGCACCCCCCCUCCUCGUCAUGUGGCCCAAGGGAGGCAGAGGCUCCCCUCCCCUCCUGGCAAAAAAUCCCCGGCUAGCUUGGCAGAGAACCAUGCUUUAACUGGUGAUUCUCUUCAUUGAGCAGGAGGAGAGCAACUGGCCCUCUCCACCCCCUCACAGCAUCCCUCCAGUGGUUGCCGCUGGUGUCUAUCUUGUGUUUCUUUUUUAGAUUGUGAGCCCUUUGGGGACAGGCGGCCAUCUUAUUUAUUGAUUCUUUCUCUGUGUAUACCGCCCUGAGCCUUUUUUGGAAGAGCGGUAUAGAAAUGGAGGAAAUAACCAUUCAUAAGAAAAAUGGCAAUGGUGGGGGCGGAGCCCAGGAGUUGGCGGAGAGAGGCGAGGGCCUGACGUCACCGGCUCCGCGCCAUCGGGGAGGAAGGAGCCAAUGGCCGCCAAGGUCACGCCCCUUCCCCCCGUCGCCGGGUGACGUCAGAAGCCAGCGCCCCAGGGCCUGUCGGUCUAGGGAGAGGCGGGGCGCCUCGUGUCGGUCGGAGCUUCCUCUCCUUCCGCUUCGGCCACCUCCUCGGUGCCCGCCGGGAUGGCGCCGCGGCUGCCGCUGGAGAAGGCGGCCUGGCGCCGGGUCGAGACGGUGCCCCCCCCCGAGGCCGCCUCCCGCGUCGCCCUCCGGCCUUGCCCCCGCGGAGCCCGCAGGCGGUUGUGGCCUUGUGAGGAGGAAUGUCACUGUGAACCACACGCUUCAAGGAAGGGCUUUUUGAACCAGGAUGCAGCCUGCAGCUACGCUUAGGAACAUGGCAGCUGGCAAAAGUGGUGCUGCAACCCCUUCUGUGCUGCUGACACACAAGAGAAAAACCUUCUUUCCAUCCUGGGCCUUUUGCCCAAGAAAUCUCAAGAACCUAGAACUUAUGUGCAAAGCAUUUCUAAAUGGAAGAAGUGAAAACCCCACCAGCUCUUUACUCACUAAAUACUUUUUGUUGCCUCUGUGUAUCUCUUGUUGGACUCCCCUUGAAGCUAAAGAUGUGAAGUGCCAUUUGUACCCUGGGUCUCUCACCAAACAACUCUCAAGCCUGCAAAGUUUCUUGGCAAAGCAAAGCGUCUCUAGUUGGAAGAAGUGACAGCCCCAGAAGUCACCAAUCCUGAUGUUUCACUUUGGGAAACUUGAGUGAAAUGUUAGUUGGCCUUAUUGUCUAAUCUUACUCUUGAUUACUUCUUUUUAGGCAAAUAAGAUAAUAAUUUGCCUUGGUACUGAACUUUUAUCUUGAAUGGCACAAGGAGGGCGAGUAGGAGAUUGGGGCUGAAUAUGAAAAGAAUUUCUAAUUUCAACCCAUUGCUCUAAUUGUUAUUGCUCUCCGGAUAAAGGACACUGCUAAAGGAAGAGUUUAAUAAGGAUAUAAAGGAGUCUAGUAAGGAUUAAAGAACUAAUUCCUAUGCUUUGGCACAUUAUAUUCCCCCACCCCACUUUAUAAGCAUGUAAUAUGCUUAGUAAGAUAUCUGGAUGGGAGCGGGAGAGGGGGGGAGAGCCCUGAACGUAAACAUUUAGUAGCUCUUUCAUGCUUUCUUCACAUUUGUAACUGGAUUCACUUACUCCCUAGUUCUGGGAGAGAGGGAACAUUGGUUUUGGUUCUCCUCACUCUUUUGUAGAAUUCUGUUUAACAUUGUCUUAGUUGGUUUAACCUGGUUACUUUUCUCUCUCACCUUUUUGGUGGUGAUUUGGAGGAUGGGGAGGGAAGGAUAGUUCCUGGGUUUAGUUAUGAAUGUAUUUCAAUGCUAACAGUUUCUGCCAAAGAUGAUGUAUUUCGACUCAAGGCCUAUGAUAUAACAUUAGUCCAAUUGGUUAUAGCACUUGCAGUUGUUGACAUGGGUAAUCUGUCCUUUAAAGAUGGGUGAUUUAAAUAUUUUUUCAGUUAAUUGUAAUGGCUUAGUUUCUUAUCAAACAUUCUAAGGUGUUUAAAACAAAGGACAGAUAUAAUUUUUCUUCAAGAAACACGUACUAAAAGAGGAACAACAACAUUGUUUAGUUUAAUUAUCCUCAUCAGGGAUAGCAGCUGGAAGCUCGAAGUCCAAAGGAACUGCCACAUUGUUUUCCCCAAAUUGCUGAUUUACACCCUUGAAAGACUAUAAAGAUUCUUUUGGUCCGUUUGUAUAUAUUGAGGGCACAUUUUUGGAUAAACCCUUGUUACUGUGUUCCAUAUAUGCCCCAAAUACUCUGUCACUGAAAAUCUCUUUUAAAAACUUCAAAGUAUUAAGAUUCAAGAUUGGAUAAAUGGGUGUGAUUUUAACGUAACCAUAAACCCUGCUUUGGAUAGGUCAGCCUCCAAGUAUACUCCCAAUAUUUCUACUUCUAAGUUCCCUAUAGCAUAUCUCUAUAAGGAAGCUAAUUUGGUAGUUCCUUGGCAGUUGUUACACCCAGGGGAAGGGGAUUACACAUUCUUGUCUGCCAGACAUGAAACUUGUUCUAGGAUUGAUUAUGUUCUCAUCUCCAGUUCCCUACAGAAUGAUAUUCAAGAUGCUAUUAGUGAUAACAUUUGGAUAGAUCUCAAUUGGAUAAUAUGCUCAUUAAGUUUUGAAAGUUCUAAUAACCCAAUUUCUUGGUUGAAAACUUAUUUAUUAUACAAUAAAGAUAUAUGCAAAACAUUGGAA